rnacentral:misc_RNA from 1 species
CGCACCUUGCGCUCCCUGGUAUUCCGGGGAGCAUGCCUGUUUGAGUGUCAUGGAAUUCUCUCAACCUUUAGUUCUUUCUUUAUCAGUUUGACUAAAGGCUUGGACUUGGAGGUCUCUGCUGGCCCUGUUACUUUUAUUUAUUCAUUCAAUAAAUAAAAAUCAAUCAGUCGGCUCCUCUUAAAUUCAUUAGCGUGAAUGACUUAUGGAUCGCUUCGGUGUGAUAAUUAUCUGCGCCGUAGUCGUGAAGUAUAUACGUAUAUUUUUGGAAACAAAAAUAAAUCUUCAUGCUUCUAAUCGUCUCUUUUAAAUGAGACAAUCAAUAUAAAACCAUUUUUGACCUCAAAUCAGGUAGGACUACCCGCUGAACUUAA